UAUCGAUGGCGAUUUUAAACCAAUUCGGAUCACACAAGGAGUGAAAAUGUUUUUCAUCGCUCAGUAUUCCUUAGAGUAUACUAAAUUGUCAGUGAGUGAAUAUUGUAGUUACGGGUGAUUGAAUUUGUUUGACAGUUGCGGAAGUAAACAGCCUUUGUUUGAGUUUUGUUUUCUUGCUCAGUUUGCAUUCGUUAUGAUAUUAGCAGUGGUAAAGAGAAAAAGUUUAUUUACAGCAUUUAAUAUAGAAUGAGCAAAAACGAAUCUAUAAGGCUAAAUGGCUUGAAAUUGUAAUCCCUUGCACGUUUCAAUCGUGAUGGUGGCUUUAUUAAAGAGAAAAUGAUAUACUGUAUUUCAAUUAUUUUCAAUACAAUGAAAAAGUCAUUAUCUAUUCUUAGAACUAAACUACUUAAGUGCUCACAGACGUUUAAACCAAGAACGUUUGUCUCAGUUUUUAUGUGGUGCAAGUAAUUCCAGUUUGAAUUUCGCUUCUAGAACGAGGAAUGUUUGACUGUUGUUUCCAUUGUGUGAGCCUGAGUGCUGACCGCGGUAGCAGGAUUUGAUGAGGAAUAUUUUAGUGGCCAUGUAUUUCAAAGUGGUUGAUGCGCUUCUCGUCUGAACAAGUUUGUAGAACAGUACGUAUUGUUCUAAGAGAAGCGCCGAGUUUCCGAAGCUUAGCGAGGAAACUUGUGAUCAUCGGAAAAAUUGUCGGCAUGACAAAUUAGCUACCUUAGAGGAGUGAGGAGUGUAAUUUUUGUUAUCACAAGAUCAAUGUCCACCGGGGGAGCCCAAAGGGACACUUGACCGGCUGAUCGAAGACACUGUAAGUAAGUAAACAAAUGUUGCAAAUAGAACAUAAUUUAUUAAGAAUCCUAACUGGUGGGAGGCUGACCAAUUGGCUAUUUACACAACGCGCUGGAGGAGUUGAAACUCUUUGCACCAUUUCCUUCACCCUCCUCUUCCCUAAAAGCCUUGCCCCAAAUGCCUGGCAUUUUGUCCUCGCCUUAACUCCCUCACCAAAGUGCCAGUCCUAGCUGUUUGUUUUGCCUUAGUUUCCCUCGUCCUUCUCUUCCCCUUAUAGUCUCGUUCCAUUCACUUGUCUUUCAUUUUGUCUUGCCCCAAAUUCCCCUGCCCUCUCCUCCCUCUAAUAGCCUCGCCUCAUUCUCUUGCCUUCCUCUUUGUCUCGUCUUUUAAAUUCCCCCGCCCUCUCAUCCCCUUUUAGUCUCGCCUCAUUCCCUUGGCUUCCUUUUUUUUUCCUCCUGAUUUUCCUUCCCUCUCUCCUUUAUAGUCUCGUUCUAGAUCUAUUCUCAUGUAAGUUACAGUUUGUUUCGCCCGAAUUUCCUCGAAAUGUUCUCUCCUUUAUGGUCUCAUCCCAAUCACUUGGCUUCCCUUUUGUCUCACGAAAUUUCCUCGGUCCCUCCUCCCCCUAAUAGCCUUGGCCUAUUCAUCUGGCUUACAUUUCGUCCCGCUGUGUUUUCACUUUCGGCGGAUAUUUCCCCACCUCUCCUACCCUAGUGCGGGCCCUAGGGUUUUAUUCAGGUGAGUAAGACCCCGGAAAGGAUAACCUGCAUGCAGAAAGCUUAACUGUAACAGGGACCAGAGUGGAUCAUGGAAAAGAGGGUCGUGAUUUCUCUUUUACAAUGACAUUAAAAAAAUACCAGAAAAUUUAAUUUAUCAUUGUGGUAAAGAAUAAAAAAUUGACGAUUUAUAACCUUCGGAUCGGAAAUUUUUUCUUUUUUCCCACUUGACAUGACUAAAGGAAAAUUGGAUCAUAGUAAUUUAAACUUGAGUUUCAUGAGGAACAUACGCAAACACAGUAAAGUGUAGUUAAGUAACGCCAUUUGUUACGAAAUUUUCUUAAAAAGUCGCUGAUCAUCAACAUCUUACUGCGUGCACUGGUGAAAACAAGCUCAGUGAUUGCUGAGAUCUGAAUAAACACAAUCAUUCUUUUGUUGCUGUUGUUGUUGCUGUUCUCGUUGCCACGCACGGAAUAAUCCCACGCGUAAAAAUAAAAAAAAGAAAACCGUUCAUUCUUCUUAGAGGGCCUUGAUGAAGUUGAACAGAUACUUCAGAUAAGACGUGUUUUUUUUUUUUAAUAAUAGCAGAGGUCUCAGGCCUGCAAAAUUAAGUUAUAGCUGAGAAUUGGGAGAAAAUUAAACUGACAACUUAGACUAGCAGAUUAUGUCACCCAGACCCUAUUCAAGAUCAUGUUUCUGCAAGUAGAAUUAGUGUGUUCAUUCUUCUUGGUUUUGUGCUUAUGCCAGUGCUUGUGUCGCUGCCGUCCUCACUAGCUUAUGCUUAUGCUUGUGAUUAUUUUGCUAAUGAAAGCUACACCUAAAAAGAGAGAAAUAACCGCCUUUUUUCAGGUAACAGCACAUGAGCGCGUGCGCGUAGAAAACGUAAGAGAUUUCCCUCAAACUAAGCUCGAUAGCGAAAUAAAUGCUCA